rnacentral:rRNA from 1 species
GACGAACGCUGGCGGCGUGCUUAACACAUGCAAGUCGAACGGAAAGGCCCUGCUUUUGUGGGGUGCUCGAGUGGCGAACGGGUGAGUAACACGUGAGUAACCUGCCCUUUACUUUGGGAUAACUUCAGGAAACUGGGGCUAAUACCGGAUAGGAGCUCCUGCUGCAUGGUGGGGGUUGGACAGUUUCGGCGGUUGGGGAUGGACUCGCGGCUUAUCAGCUUGUUGGUGGGGUAGUGGCUUACCAAGGCUUUGACGGGUAGCCGGCCUGAGAGGGUGACCGGGCACAUGGGGACUGAGAGACGGACCAGACUCCUACGGGAGGCAGCAGUGGGGAAUAUUGCACAAUGGGCGGAAGCCUGAUGCAGAAACGCCGCGUGCGGGAUGACGGCCUUCGGGUUGUAAACCGCUUUCGCCUGUGACGAAGCGUGAGUGACGGUAAUGGGUAAAGAAGCACCGGCUAACUACGUG